rnacentral:rRNA from 1 species
AUGGGCACCGAGCGGGCCAUCAUCCACGGCGAGCUGCCCCAGCCGUGCCACCACGGCAAGGACAGGGCGUACAGGAUCGCCAACACGAUUCCUGUCGCGGCGUUCAUUGUGACGGUGAUCUGGACCGCUUCCAUGACGGCCAUCAUUUUUACAAACGACAUCACCGAUGAGUUUGACAUUGUCUUUCUCCUCUCAUACGUCGGUUGGAUACAUGUUGCCGUCUGGUUACUAUAUGUUGCAGAUGUACCCAUGCGUAAAGUGCUGAUGAAAGAGCCGAUGGUAUCUCUACUUGCCUCUCUUCUCCCAUGCUUGAUGAUUUCUCCGGUGAUCAGCGCUGUGUGCCGUAUUCUUUACAACCUCAGUGUUUAUGUGCACUAUUUGCUGACUGCUGCUUCAUACAGGGUACUCCUUGGUAAACAUGAUAAGUCAUGUGAAGAGAAGUUGAACAGCAUGGAACAUAUGGGCGACCAUGAUGAGAAUCCAAAGGAGAUGACUGCGACAUCGGGGAGAAAGCCUAUUUCUAGAGGGGCCAGCGUGGAGAGUGAAGAAAAGAAGCACACUUUGGGCACGAAGAACAUCAAGGAUCGAGUCUUCUCAUUUGGGCACCGCAAGCACCAAAGUUGA